UAGGGAAUAUUGGACAAUGGGCGAAAGCCUGAUCCAGCCAUGCCGCGUGUGUGAAGAAGGCCUUUUGGUUGUAAAGCACUUUAAGUGGGGAGGAAAAGCUUGUGGUUAAUACCCAUAAGCCCUGACGUUACCCACAGAAUAAGCACCGGCUAACUCUGUGCCAGCAGCCGCGGUAAUACAGAGGGUGCAAGCGUUAAUCGGAAUUACUGGGCGUAAAGCGCGCGUAGGUGGUUAUUUAAGUCAGAUGUGAAAGCCCCGGGCUUAACCUGGGAACUGCAUCUGAUACUGGAUAACUAGAGUAGGUGAGAGGGGAGUAGAAUUCCAGGUGUAGCGGUGAAAUGCGUAGAGAUCUGGAGGAAUACCGAUGGCGAAGGCAGCUCCCUGGCAUCAUACUGACACUGAGGUGCGAAAGCGUGGGUAGCAAACAGGAUUAGAUACCCUGGUAGUCCACGCCGUAAACGAUGUCUACCAGUCGUUGGGUCUUUUAAAGACUUAGUGACGCAGUUAACGCAAUAAGUAGACCGCCUGGGGAGUACGGCCGCAAGGUUA
rnacentral:rRNA from 1 species